UUAAAAAAUGUACAACAAUAGCAAAUAAAAAAAAACAAUGAGAUGGAGAUUACAAUUUCUAUUACUUAAUAUCUACACAAGGAAAAUAUAUUAUCAACUCAGCAGUAGGAUGUAACGGCAACACAUAUUUCUUGCUACUUGUGUGGCAAACUACGCAAUCUGAUUAAUUUUCAAUAUUUAUUGAAGUAAUCUUUCACCAAAUGAAUAACUUUACUGCCAUAGUAACACAUACUAAAGAACAGGAUGCUGUGCUAUUUAUUGAUAACAAAGUCUAUGCCAAUAUCCCGGAAAUUAAUGGAGGCAAUCACUGUAAAGACUCUUUUGUACAACAUGAGGUGACGUCGCACUCAAAUUGCUUCGUUAAAUCGAACUCCUACAGGCUUUAUGAACCAACUAUGAAAUAUUCGCCAAACCAAACACGUAUUUGCCAGCAUCACUGUGAAGUAUUCAUACGCAGGGAAAAUAACAUACUUCAAACUGUUAAACGUCAUUUACACAAUGAAUAUUCUUUUGCGAUAGCUAGCCAAUCACGCUCUAUUAAGCAUAUUGCAGAAAAGCUAAUCGCUUAUCGACGGAAACAGAAGUCUGGGUCUCAAACAUCCGUAGAAAUUAUCUCUUCCGCUGCUAAAAAAUUUUCAUAGAUGUUCUUUCAAGCAAGAUAAAAGCAUUUUUGAGCAAUUAAUGAACAAUUUUACGUCAUAACGCAUUUUUUUAACAAAAUUAUUUUACUGAUAAUUUACAAAAAAUGUAAUUGCAAAUAAGCUUGAUGUUUGAAUCUAGAUUUUCAAACUGUUCCUUAGGAACUAAGUUGGGUCCGAUGAAACAAAAAUAUAUACAAAGAUAUUUAAACCAUGAGCAUCCCAUUUUGUUUUUUAGGGUUUCUGUUAACUGGAAUACAUUAUUUCAGUUAUAUAAUGUUCGUACUAUCAGUAUGUCUCCCUAAAAGUUUGGAGUACUUCCUUGUAUGUGAUGUCUUGUCAGUAGUUUACCGCUAGAAUCUUUAAUUCUAGAUUAUUUAUAUACAUCUCAAUAAUAUGCUUGCAGCAAUGGAAAAUAAUUUCUUGUUCGUGACAUAAUCAACUGAUUUUAGAGUGCAUAGACUUGCACAAUAUUUAAAGAUUGCAAGAGAAUAAAUUCGUAGAAAGGUGUUUUGUGUCUUAUAGACAUGUUGAAUAAUAUAUUACGGGUGCAUUAAAAAAAUCUACUUGCAAUGCUACUAGGAACCAUGUUAUGAAUUUAUAGAGUUUAAAUCACUGCAGUGUGUGUACACAGUAGAAACAAAUUGUAUUUUAUACAACUUCUGCAAGGACGAAAAGCUGUUCAGCCAGACCCUAUUCAAUCCGAACCACAAUUAAUCGCAUAUACUGUCGAGUAUCCUCCUGUAGAUAUUGUUUAUGUAGUAACUAUAAGUGCUUUAGUAAAUCGGAUUGACCGAAUAGCAUAAGUUAACGUAUUCAUCACAGAUAGGUCGAUAAACAAAGUUUCUAGACGAUCUAUUAGUGUUUGUUCAGAUACUGUGAUUAGCUUUUUAAA
rnacentral:lncRNA from 1 species